rnacentral:rRNA from 1 species
UGGGAAUUUUGGACAAUGGGCGCAAGCCUGAUCCAGCCAUGCCGCGUGCGGGAAGAAGGCCUUCGGGUUGUAAACCGCUUUUGUCAGGGAAGAAAUCUUCUGAGUUAAUACCUCGGGAGGAUGACGGUACCUGAAGAAUAAGCACCGGCUAACUACGUGCCAGCAGCCGCGGUAAUACGUAGGGUGCAAGCGUUAAUCGGAAUUACUGGGCGUAAAGCGUGCGCAGGCGGUUUUGUAAGACAGAGGUGAAAUCCCCGGGCUCAACCUGGGAACUGCCUUUGUGACUGCAAGGCUUGAGUGCGGCAGAGGGGGAUGGAAUUCCGCGUGUAGCAGUGAAAUGCGUAGAUAUGCGGAGGAACACCGACGGCGAAGGCAAUCCCCCUGGGCCUGCACUGACGCUCAUGCACGAAAGCGUGGGGAGCAAACAGGAUUAGAUAGCCCUGGUAGUCCACGCCCUAAACGAUGUCAACUGG